rnacentral:lncRNA from 1 species
GAUCCAUGAUCCCAAUGAGGUCCUUCAGAAAGUCCAAAUGGUUUAGUCACUGCUUUAAUUGUAAAACCGGGUGUAUUUUCAGUAAUUUCAGAUAUGAAAUAGCAUUGAAUAUGUGUUGAAAAUAUCGUGGAUAAAAAAAUAAAUAUAACGAACUGAUAAGAUAUAAUAAGAAUAAUAAUACUGAUAAACCGGACAUGGUCAUACCACAAAUUCGUUUUUAUGAAUGACAUGACAAGGACAAAUAAUUUAUAAGGUUAUCGCAUGGAACGAGAAAGAAGAUGGAAUGCGAGUGCAUCUUUAGAUCAAUUAUAUGAAGUCGGAAAAGUUUGAGCAAAUCUUAGACAUACUAUUACACAAGUUCUACGAAUAUUCAAUAUAACUGCAGAUUAUGUAAGAAGGAAAUACUUACCAAGCCAUUUGAAAAGAAAAAAAAACUGAUCAAUUGUAUAAUAAAAA